rnacentral:rRNA from 1 species
UUGAACGCUGGCGGCGUGCCUAAUACAUGCCAGUCGAGCGAACAGACGAGGAGCUUGCUCCUCUGACGUUAGCGGCGGACGGGUGAGUAACACGUGGAUAACCUACCUAUAAGACUGGGAUAACUUCGGGAAACCGGAGCUAAUACCGGAUAAUAUAUUGAACCGCAUGGUUCAAUAGUGAAAGACGGUUUUGCUGUCACUUAUAGAUGGAUCCGCGCCGCAUUAGCUAGUUGGUAAGGUAACGGCUUACCAAGGCAACGAUGCGUAGCCGACCUGAGAGGGUGAUCGGCCACACUGGAACUGAGACACGGUCCAGACUCCUACGGGAGGCAGCAGUAGGGAAUCUUCCGCAAUGGGCGAAAGCUUGACGGAGCAACGCCGCGUGAGUGAUGAAGGUCUUCGGAUCGUAAAACUCUGUUAUUAGGGAAGAACAAAUGUGUAAGUAACUAUGCACGUCUUGACGGUACCUAAUCAGAAAGCCACGGCUAACUACGUG